UAUCGCGUAAGGGUGGCGAAGCUGCUCGUAGUAUUCCUGCUCCGCCCCGUUCUCGCGAACAUCGUCGUCGCGGUCGCGGUAGUCCAGCAGGCAGUCCACCAGCUCGUUGGACAUCAUCGGCAGGCUGAGCAGCGUGUCGCCGUCGGCGGUGUUGAUGUUGAUUUUUCCGGCCUGGU
rnacentral:rRNA from 1 species